rnacentral:piRNA from 1 species
UCCAUGGAUAGGAGGAGUCUUAGCUAGGGUC